rnacentral:pre_miRNA from 17 species
UGUCCUUCUCCGGUGUCUUGCCAGUGGUUUUACCCUAUGGUAGGUUACGUCAUGCUGUUCUACCACAGGGUAGAACCACGGACAGGAUGCCUGGGGAUC